rnacentral:sRNA from 1 species
AUUGCAAAGGUUGCCCCCUCAUUCAUAUAAGGCAAAAAGUUAGCAGUUAAUCAUUUCCUUUAUCAUUUUUAUGUCUUUUCACACUAAUAUCUUGUAUUUUUUUCAAAUCUAGACCCGCUGUCUUUCAAAUAACUUAGUUGCCUUUUUAGAAUUACAAAAUAUGUUUGUACUAGCAAGAAAAUGACUACUUUGACUCAAGUCUUUAAAGCAGCUAAUGUUGGGUAUGUGGUGUUUCUUUAGAAUUUUAAGGAAGUUUAUUUGUAUAAUAGGCAUUAGAGAGAUUAGUUUGCUUAAGACCUAACUUGAGAACUGAAGGUUACAAAUGUGUCUGUGUCUUAUCACUAUAGAAAUAGUCUUGCCUUCCUUUCCUUCAGAGUGCCUGCUGUGUUACCAGUAAGGUCUCUUUUCCUUUUUGGUGUCCAGAAUUUAUGGUGCCCUAAAGAAAGAACAUAGUUAGGUGGCCGACCUCAUGUCCCUUCCCUUUUUGUGCAUUGGUUUCCCUGACUCUGUCUGUAUAUUUCUUUCUUUUUUUUUUUUUUCUUUCUUUGAGACGGAGUCUCACUCUGUCGCCCAGGCUGGAGUGCAGUGGCGUGAUCUCGGCUCACUGCAAGCUUCGCCUCCUAGGUUCAUUCCAUUCUCCUGCCUCAGCCUCCCGAGUAGGUGGGACUACAGGUGCCCGCCACCACGCCUGGCUAAUUUUGUUUUUGUAUUUUUAGUAGAGAUGGGGUUUCACCAUGUUAGCCAGGAUGGUCUCGAUCUCCUGACUUCGUGAUCCACCCGCCUUGGCCUCCCAAAGCGCUGGGAUGACAGGUGUGAGCCACCAUGGCCAGCCCCAGUAUAUUUCUUUUACCAUGCUGAACCAAGAACUUUAAAAAUUUACUACCAUUCAUAAAUUAGCACAAUUGAAUAUUAACUAUAAAUGCCUUAAAGGUCUUUAGUUCUUUGUAUUUCUCUUUAAAUGAUCAGAAACAUAUAUAGUUCUAACCAAUUAUCAUAAUUUUCCACCCCCUAUAAUUUUGUGGAAACAAGAUGUAUAAUGAAAAGAUGAAAUAUUCUGUAAUCAGACAAGCCUAGUUUCAAAUCUGUUUCACCAGUUAUUAGACACUAGGAGCAAGUUGAUUAAUUUCUGUGUCUCAACUUUCUCAUUUAUGAAAUAGUAUAGACACACUCCAUUAGGUUGUUGAAUUUAAAUAAGAUAAUGUAUGUAUAGUUCUCAGUUCAAUGUAGCAUCUAGUAGAUACAUAGAUACACAGUAAGUGUUAAUAUUGUCUCUUGGCUGGGUGUGGUGGCUCAUGCCUGUAAUCCCAGCACUUUGGGAGGCUGAGGUGGGUGGAUCACCUGAGGUCAGAAGUUUGAGAUCAGCCUGGUCAACAUGGUGAAACCCUGUCUCUACUAAAAAUACAAAAAUUAGCCAGGUAUUGUGGCACAUGCCUAUAAUCUCAGCUACUUGGGAGGCUGAGGCAGGAGAAUUACUUGAACCCAGCAAGUGGAGGUUUGCAAUGAGUCGAGAUUGCACUGCUGCUCUCCAGCCUGGGCGACAGAGUGAGACUUUGUCUCAAAAAAAAAAUAAUUAUCUCUCACUUUCCCCUAAGAACAGAUUGAGUGAUAUUUAUACAUAAUGUUUGUUUGUAAAAUGAGAGUUGAAGGUAAUAAAUUCAAUAAUUUGGGGUUUUUUUUGUUGAUAGUAACCAGUUUUCCUUUCUUAUAUAUAGCAUAUCCUGCUCCUCUAACAAGCAUCAGAGGCCGAAAACCUCUUUUUGGAGAAAUAGGACACACUAUUAUGAACUUACUUGUUGUGAGUAAUUGAACUAUUUUAUUAGGUGUUUUUAUACUGUUACUUUAAAACUUUAUUUAGCAAAGUUUAUACAUUUAUAUUUUCCUACUUUAAUUUGCCAUGUUUGGUAUAAUGACCAUUCAUUUACAAUAAAUCCUAAUUAUUUUAACAUUAGUGCUCAGUUUUUGAUGAAUUGCUUUUUAGAACGUACUAUCUCCUCAUGUACGUGUACCUGAUUCUAAUUGCCUUUUGAUUCAUUCUCCUGCAGUUCUUGGAUAUGUAGGUAAUGUAAGAACUCUAUACAGACCUCUUAAAGUUGUUGAAACUUUUGUAAAUGUAUUAGUAAAGUCAGUCAGUCUUGUGAUUUUGAGCAAAUUAUGGCCUUAGUUUUCUCAUUUAUAAUAGGAAGUGUUGGAUUAGAUGAUAUCUAAAGUUCCCUUCCACCUAUACUUUUUGUAAUUUUGUGUUUCCCUGUUACCAUAGAAAAAUGUUUCAGUGGACUCACUUUUAUUUAUCCAUGCCUAGUUUGAAGACCUUUUCUAUUUUGGAAGUUUUGUAACUAGAAAGAGGAGAUACCCUAAAUACUACAAAGUUUUUCCUGAGAAUGAUAUUCUUUAUUACUGUUGUGGAGAAGGAUUUCUUAAAGAAGGAUUUAAUGGAUGGAAAAAUACUCAUGGUUAGUAGUUUAUGGUAAUGUGAUUAUUCUAUGUAGGACCUUCGAAAUUACCAGUAUACCUUGCAUAAUAUAGAUCAACUGUUGAUUCAUAUGGAAAUGGGAAAAAGCUGCAUAAAAAUACCACGGAAAAAGUACAGUGAUGUAAUGAAAGUACUAAAUUCUUCUAAUGAGCAUGUCAUUAGCAUUGGAGCAAGUUUCAGUACAGAAGCAGAUUCUCAUCUAGUCUGUAUACAGAAUGAUGGAAUUUAUCAAACACAGGCCAACAGUGCCACUGGCCAUCCUAGAAAAGUGACAGGUGCAAGUUUUGUGGUAUUCAAUGGAGCUCUAAAAACAUCUUCAGGAUUUCUUGCUAAGUCCAGCAUAGUUGAAGAUGGCUUAAUGGUACAAAUAACUCCAGAGACCAUGAAUGGCUUGCGGCUAGCUUUACGAGAACAGAAAGACUUUAAAAUUACCUGUGGGAAAGUUGAUGCAGUAGACCUGAGAGAAUACGUGGAUAUCUGCUGGGUAGAUGCUGAAGAAAAAGCAAACAAAGGUGUUAUCAGUUCAGUGGAUGGAAUAUCAUUACAAGGAUUUCCAAGUGAAAAAAUAAAACUGGAAGCAGAUUUUGAAACCGAUGAGAAGAUUGUAAAGUGUACCGAGGUGUUCUACUUUCUAAAGGACCAGGAUUUAUCUAUUUUAUCAACUUGUUAUCAGUUUGCAAAAGAAAUAGCCAUGGCUUGUAGUGCUGCGCUGUGCCCUCACCUGAAAACUCUAAAGAGUAAUGGGAUGAAUAAAAUUGGACUCAGAGUUUCCAUUGACACUGAUAUGGUUGAAUUUCAGGCAGGAUCUGAAGGCCAACUUCUGCCUCAGCAUUAUCUAAAUGAUCUUGAUAGUGCUUUGAUACCUGUGAUCCAUGGUGGGACCUCCAACUCUAGUUUACCAUUAGAAAUAGAAUUAGUGUUUUUCAUUAUAGAACAUCUUUUUUAGUGAAAGAAUGUGCCAUAUUACAUAUUGCAACCUAAUUUGUUAAAACUAACUCCAGCACUAAAGCUGAAAUGCCACAAACACUAAAAGUAUAAAUAUGUCUGAUUUUUCGAAACACAUAAGCUUUGCUCUUUAGGCAGGAAUGAUCUUUUCAAAUCAUUAGCACAAUAUUUAAAUAUCUAAAAAUUUAAGAGAUCCAUACUUUCUGAAGCUUUACAAUUAAUUUAAGUACUAAAAAGACAAGGAUUUCUUUUAAGAAAUUUGUAGCAUUUACUGUGUUAUUUAAAUGCUAAGCCAAAGUAUCUGCACUUAGGUAUACCUCCUUAUGCCAAUAAUGAUUUUAAUGAAGGCUCUUUUCAGAUGUAACCUUAUGAAGGAAAUAUCUGCUUUGUGUAUAUGCCAGUUAGAAUACUGGUUUCUAAAGUCUGUCAAAUUGUAUUUCAGUGGCACAAAAACCAGUUUCGAGGUCUUAGACUUAUAAUUCUUUGAAUAAAACUGAUAACUUAUUUGUAUAAUUGGAGUGGAGACCUACCUCCAUAAUUAGAUAAACUCUUUUUGGAUUAUAAUCAGAAUUUUGCCUUUUUUCUUCUCAAAUUAUUACAUGUAUAUGUAUUAUAUAUCCAUAUAUAUAGUUUUUCCUGAUUAAAUGGAUAUUAAAAUAAUUGCAGGUGCUUCAGGACUUUUGCUUCUAUAUUUAAAUAUGUUGUUUUUAUAGCAAGAACAUAUUCUGAAUGUGUUUUAUAAAUCUUUAAUAAUUUAUAUAUAGGUAAUAUUUUUGUAUCACAAUGCAUUAUUUUUUUCCUCCUUUCCUUCCAAAGUAUACCACUGUAUUUACCACUUCUAAGAGUGACUGACGACAGGCCAGAUGACCCUUGAAGUAGUCAUUAUGUAGCAAUAAAUGAAGCCUGAAACAGGUUUUUUUACUUCCACUUUAAUCCUUAGAAAUUUCUUGGCAACUUGGCAUAUUUUCAUUGACACCAAUGUAUAAGUAUAAAUUUAAAUGAACUAGUUACUUUUGCCUAUUUUAAAUUCUUUAUAUGAUAGUUAUUUUUUAUAACAGGAUAUUAACAUAAGUUAAAUCCUAUGUAUUUGAAAUUGUUACAGAGCUUUCCUCUUCAAACAGUAAAAAAGUGGGGGGCAUAUUGUAGUCCUGUCAUUUAAGUUAUGUAAAAAAUUUAAUCAUUAUUUUGAUGCUUUAAACAUUCUCAAAUGUGUAAUAUAUGUUUUUGUAUCAAAAACACUCAUAUUUCAAGAAAAAGAAAUUAUGUUAAAUAGCCCUGUUUUAAGAAAAAUAUUUAUGAAGCAUCUCAACUUGAAGAUCGAGUCAAAGUUAUAACUCAGGAUCUAAGGUCUCAAGCUAGGAGAGACUGAGAAUUUUAAUCAGUUUGGGCAUAUAGUUUGGACUGAAUCACAUCUGUAGUACUUAGCCAAAGACAAUUCGGAGGAGAAUAUCAGCCUUCUGGAAGUAGCUACUUCCUGAACAAUGUAAAGUGUUGCAGAUAUUCAGUAAAAUGGCAACCUGUUAUAAUUUGUGAAAUUUAUUGAAAUGGUGUAAGAUGAAAACAAUUGCAUAUCAAACCCAAUUUAUGUUUUCUUAAUAUAGUGUGUGUAUUCUGCCAUGUAAGUAAUUGCACAGUCUUAAAAUAACCAAAUGGUAGAGGGCUGUUCCAUGAUGGGAUUGCUUUGGAUUUGUUUUCAUAAAAUCUCUACAUUCAAUAAAAACUGGAAUUAUGUGCCUGAA